rnacentral:rRNA from 1 species
AUGUUAUCCUUGUCAUUCUUUUUGCAACCAAAAUCCUUUUCUGUAAGGUACAAUUUUAAUAAGGUGUCACUCACCUUCCUUGUCCUCGAGUUGCUUCUUGGCACGGUCGAGCUCGUUCUCGGACCACUCGAGGCUUUCCUUCAAAGUAUUGACCUCCGCAGUCAGUGCGGCAGAGGUCAGCAGCACAGCCUGCAAUCCCAUGUUGACAUAUUUUUUAUGACUCGUGCGUAUAUCUUUUUAGAUCCUCAGUCCGGCUUUUCUUUCCAAACACUGAACCGAGCAUCAGGGGCUACUGUCUAUGCGGUACUAUUUUACAUAUAUGAAAAUUCUUACCUCAAAGCCUGUUAG